rnacentral:rRNA from 1 species
UGAUUCUUCGGAUGAAGAUUUUUGUGACUGAGCGGCGGACGGGUGAGUAACGCGUGGGUAACCUGCCUCAUACAGGGGGAUAACAGUUAGAAAUGACUGCUAAUACCGCAUAAGACCACGGUACCGCAUGGUACAGUGGUAAAAACUCCGGUGGUAUGAGAUGGACCCGCGUCUGAUUAGCUGGUUGGUGAGAUAACAGCCCACCAAGGCGACGAUCAGUAGCCGACCUGAGAGGGUGACCGGCCACAUUGGGACUGAGACACGGCCCAGACUCC